UGGAGCAUGUGUUUAAUCGAAGCAACGCGCAGAACCUUACAACCCUUGACAUGGGUAUCGCGAUUUCCAGAGAUGGAUUUCUUCAGUUCGGCUGGAUACCACACAGGUGCUGCAUGGCUGUCGUCAGCUCGUGUCGUGAGAUGUUCGGUUAAGUCCGGCAACGAGCGCAACCCACGUCUUUAGUUGCCAGCAUUCAGUUGGGCAACUCUAAAGAAACUGCCGAUGAUAAGUCGGAGGAAGGUGUGGAUGACGUCAAGUCCUCAUGGCCCUUACGGGUUGGGCUACACACGUGCUACAAUGGCAGUGACAAUGGGUUAAUCCCUAAAAGCUGUCUCAGUUCGGAUUGGGGUCUGCAACUCGACCCCAUGAAGUCGGAAUCGCUAGUAAUCGCGUAACAGCAUGACGCGGUGAAUACGUUCCCGGCCUU
rnacentral:rRNA from 1 species